CUUUAUCUUAUAGUGCUAUCUAUGACCAUUUAGGGUUGAAUUUGAGAAGCAGAACCAGUAGAAGAUAGAUAUUAAAAGAUUCCUUGGAGUUCCCAUUAUGUCUUAGAGGGUUAAGGACCUGACCUAGUGUCUGUAAGGAUGAGGGUUCGAUUCCUGGCCUCACUUAGUAGGUUAAGGAUCUCAUGUUGCCACAAGCUGUGUCAUAGGUCACAGAUACUGCUCAGAUCUGGCGUUGCUGUGACUGUGGUGUAGGCUGACAGAUACAGCUCCAAUUCAACCCCUAGCCCGGGAGUUUCCAUAUGCCCACAAGUGUGGCCAUAAAAAAAGAAAAGAUUUCUUGCAGAGAAAUUUUUCUUUCUUCAAGGAACUUCAGGAGUUCCUAUUGUCACGCAGCAGAAACAAAUCCAACUAGGAACCAUGAGAUUGUGGGUUCGAUCCCUGGCCUUGCUCAAUGGGUUGAGGAUCCAGCGUUGCCGUGAGCUAUGGUGUAGGUCGCAGAUGUGGCUCAGAUCUGGCGUUGCUGUGGCUACAGCUCCAAUUCGACCCCUAGCCUGGGAACCUCCAUAUGCCACGGGUGCAGCCCUAAAAAGGACAGAAGACAAAAAGAAAAAAAGGAAAUUCAGGUCUGUGUUUAAAGCCUACAACUGAUAGAAUCGGGCCAUUCAUAUUAUCUAGGAUUAUCCCCGUUACUCCACUGAUGAUGGACUUUAAUGGUAUCCACCAAGGAUCUUCACAUCAACACCUACACAAGUGACACAUUGAAUAACUGGCAACUGUAGCCUAGCCAGGUUGUUACAUCCAAAAGACCAUCAGGACAUGGAUGCGCCAGGCACUGUUCUAAGGAUUUCAUACAUCAUCUCAUUUAUUAACCUCACAAUAACCCGAUAAGGAAACUGAGGUACAGAGUAACGGAGUAAAUUGUUCUGGUUUCCAGUAAAUAAAUACUGGAACGGUAUGUCAGCUCAAGGGAUCUGGUUCCAGAGAUCAUGUUUCCACCAUGACUUUGCUGAUUGUCUUUGGAUUCCAUCUUGCCAGAUACUUUUUAAACAUAUUUUCUAGAAUGUUCAAUGAGGUUUUGUCAAGGGCAAACUUUUUCCUAUCAAAAUCUCUCUUGCCCUCCUUUAAGAUACAUUCCAAUUUCUUUCUUGGCCAUGUUCAUUUCCUACAUGUUCAUGACACUUCUGAGAAUCACUACUGUAAUUACCUUCAUCAUUAAUAACAAUAGAUAUAUAUUAAUUUCUUUACCCAGUACUAACAAAUUUUGUUUAACCUCAUUGAGAACAAAUGUACUGAUAAUAUGUUUUAUAGGUGGAACAAAAAGGCUCAGUUAUUCCAAAGGUCUUCCUAAGCUGACAGAGGUAGAAAUGUUACUUCAGGCAUUCUAGAUGGAAUUGUUCAAUUGUUCUAUGAAUCAGAUGAAGUUUCUGUUCACUGCUUAGAAAUGCAAGUGAGCAAUGGAAACAACAGUUAGAAGAAAAAAAAAAAAAAGGCAACCAGGACCCAAGUUCACAAAUACUCUGAAAAUUAUUUGGGAAUUUAAUAAUUUUAUAUAGGAUUUUUUUUUCUCCAGAAGUAAUGGCUGAGGAGAAGAAAAAUCUUUCAUUUGUGUCAAGAUUCUGUGGUAGUUUAAGAAAAUGUUGAUGGCCACACUUGGCAUGUUUUUCCAAGCUGUCAAGGGUGUGAGGAGAUGGGCUGUAUGUGCCUGUCCUGCUGACCUUCACGAGCCCGUAAGGUAAAGACCUUAGCAGGCAGGUGUGAGCACUCCUGAAUAUGUUUACCAACUGGAGAGAACAGCUUUUACAAUACUGCCACGCUGACUU
rnacentral:lncRNA from 1 species